rnacentral:rRNA from 1 species
UACGUAGGCGGUUAUUCAAGUCAGAGGUGAAAGCCCGGGGCUCAACCCCGGAACGGCCUUUGAAACUAGAUAGCUAGAGUCUUGGAGAGGUUAGUGGAAUUCCGAGUGUAGAGGUGAAAUUCGUAGAUAUUCGGAAGAACACCAGUGGCGAAGGCGACUAACUGGACAAGUACUGACGCUGAGGUACGAAAGCGUGGGGAGCAAACA